rnacentral:rRNA from 1 species
GCUUAACACAUGCAAGUCGAACGAACUUAUUAGGGCUUGCUCUAAUAAGUUAGUGGCAGACGGGUGAGUAAUACAUAGGAAUCUACCCAGCAGUACGGAAUAACUUUUGGAAACGAAAGAUAAUACCGUAUACAGCUGAGAAGUGAAAGAUUUAUCGCUGUUGGAUGAGCCUAUGCAGGAUUAGCUAGUUGGUGGGGUAAUGGCCUACCAAGGCUAUGAUCCUUAGCUGGUCUGAGAGGAUGAACAGCCACACUGGAGCCCAGACACUGGCCGAACUCCUACGGGAGGCAGCAGUGGGGAAUGUUGGACAAUGGGCGAAGGCCUGAUCCAGCGACGCCGAGUGAGUGAUGAAGGCCUUAGGGUUGUAAAGCUCUUUCAGUAGGGAAGAUAGUGACGGUACCUACAGAGGAAGCCCCGGCUAACUUCGUGCCAGCCGCCGCCGUAA